rnacentral:rRNA from 1 species
AUUGAACGCUGGCGGCAUGCCUUACACAUGCAAGUCGAACGGCAGCACGGGAGCAAUCCUGGUGGCGAGUGGCGAACGGCUGAGUAAUGUAUCGGAACGUGCCCAGUCGUGGGGGAUAACGUAGCGAAAGCUACGCUAAUACCGCAUACGAUCGAUGGAUGAAAGCGGGGAUCGCAAGACCUCGCGCGAUUGGAGCGGCCGAUAUCAGAUUAGGUAGUUGGUGGGGUAAAGGCUCACCAAGCCGACGAUCUGUAGCUGGUCUGAGAGGACGACCAGCCACACUGGGACUGAGACACGGCCCAGACUCCUACGGGAGGCAGCAGUGGGGAACUUUGGACAAUGGGCGCAAGCCAGAUCCAGCAAUGCCGCGUGCAGGAUGAAGGCCUUCGGGUUGUAAACUGCUUUUGUACGGAACGAAACGGCGAGCUCUAAUACAGUUUGCUAAUGACGGUACCGUAAGAAUAAGCACCGGCUAACUACGUGCCAGCCGCCGCCGUAA